rnacentral:lncRNA from 1 species
UAAGCUCCUCAAAUCUAGCACGGGUGAUGGUGGAAUAGAAAUCAAUACCCUCAUAGAGAGAAUCAAUCUCAAUUGUGGUCUGAGCAGUGGAUGAAAGGGUCCUCUUCGCCCUCUCACAAGCAGUUCUCAACCUUCUAAGUGCCCUAGGGUUACCGCUGAUAUCCUUUUUGUUCUUCCUCUUAAAUUCUUGAACAAAAUGGGUGACCAUCCUGUUGUCAAAGUCCUCACCUCCAAGAUGAGUGUCUCCAGCAGUAGCCUUCACCUCAAAGAUACCUUCCUCAAUGGUGAGGAGAGAUACAUCGAAGGUACCACCACCAAGAUCAAAGAUCAACACAUUCUUCUCACCAACACUAGUUGCCUUCUUAUCCAGACCAUAAGCAAUGGCAGCUGCUGUAGGCUCGUUGAUAAUACGCAUGACAUUCAAACCAGCAAUAACACCAGCAUCCUUAGUGGCCUGACGCUGAGAGUCGUUAAAGUAGGCUGGCACGGUAACCACAGCAUUCUUGACAGUGGAACCAAGGAAAGCUUCAGCAAUCUCCCUCAUCUUAAUGAGCACCAUAGAAGAGAUUUCCUCAGCAGCAAACUGCUUUUCCUCACCCUUGUAGUUAACAACAAUCAUUGGCUUAUCACCAGGUCCAGGAAUGACCUUAAAUGGCCAGUGCUUGAUGUCACUUUGCACUGUGGCAUCACUAAAUCUCCUACCAAUCAACCUUUUUGCAUCUGCAUUAUAAAUAAAUUUGUUCAACAUAUAGAUCUUAAAACAACCUAAACAUUAACCAAAAAUUUUCUCUACCAAAUAUUAAUUACUUGAAGAUGCAAAUUUCAAUACAUUAUUUAUUACUUAAAAUUAGGUUUUCCAACAAAAGUCUACUUGACCAAUAAAAUGACUAUAAUAUUAUGCAAGUAGUUCAGCAAUCAGAAAAAUACAACCAAACCUCACCAGACCUCUCCAAGUCAGUUCUCCAGACAAUUUUCCACUAUAAUAAGCAUAGAUAUCAAGAUAAAAGAAAUUAACUAGCUAAAAUACAAGGACAAGCAUUGGACUUCAGCAAGAACCUAGAUAAAACAAUAAAUUAAGCAGAAUAUCUAGCACUGCAACCUUUUCUAUUCUUCAUACGUACAUGUCAAAAAUAUGACGGACUUCAAAAACAGUUUCAAACUCCGUAUGGACAUGUCAAACAAGAUAUGCCACAGAAAAAGAACUUCAAACAAUGUCAAAACUUCAAAUAGUUAAGAAUAGUUUUAUGCAGAUUCUUAUAUAUAAGAGUAAAGCUUUCAAUAUGAAAAGAAAAUUCAUCAAAGUGCAAAUAAACUCAAAAGUUACAAGGUCAAUUCAACUCUAUAUAAGCACAAGCAAAUACUAGAACAUAAAAAUAAAUCGCUCAUCAUCUUCAUAAAAAUCCAGUGGAGAUCUAACUGGAGAUCUACACUAGGUAAACUUACAAGGUCAACAUCUUAAACUUUAUUUCAAUUAUCAACAAAGACACGAAUCUAUAGAUAUCACUGGACUAAUCAAAGUAGCACAACUUCCAAACUUCCCAAUCAACAUAUCAUAUACAGACAGACACAUAGCACAGCACCUAGAAAGUGGAAACCAUAUCACAAACUAGUAACUAUCAUACUAGUCAUGAAACUUGUAAGAUAUGUCUAAUACUCUUCAUCUACUUACUUAAUAUCCAAAUCUUAAUUGAAAAGGACUAGAUCUAGACUAUCUAUAUCCAAAAAAUUAGAAACUACACAAGUACUCAUGAAAAUAUUAAGUAAAUAGUGUUUAUCUAGCCUCGGAACAUAAAAACUAAAGCUUCACAGUAAAUCUAGUCAGAUCUAGCACGAUAAGUAAGCUAAACUGAUUAUCAAUAAGCAAUGAACAUCCAACUAAUUAGAACGACAGCAACAGUAUGAAAAACAGAGAUUGAUACAGAAUCAUAGAUCACAUAACGUCAGCUAAACUGAUUAGAACGACAGCAGCAGUAUGAACAUACAGAGAUUGAUAAAUCAUCAUAGAUCAUGAAUGAAAAAACUUGUACAAAGAGUAGAUCGAGAUCUUACCGAAUACAGUGUUGAUAGGGUUCAUAGCGACCUGAUUCUUAGCAGCAUCACCAAUGAGACGCUCAGAGUCAGUGAAUCCAACAUAAGACGGUGUAGUCCUGUUACCUUGAUCAUUAGCGAUGAUCUCAACACGAUCAUGCUGCCAAACACCAACGCAAGAGUAUGUGGUACCAAGAUCAAUACCGAUAGCUGGACCUUCACCCUUU